CUUGGUCAUUUAGAGGAAGUAAAAGUCGUAACAAGGUUUCCGUAGGUGAACCUGCGGAAGGAUCAUUAAAGAAACUUCGCCUCCGGGCGGAGUCCUUCUAAACCCGUGUCUACCUUACCUUUGUUGCUUUGGCGGGCCGCCUUCGGGCGUCGGCUCCGGCUGACAGCGUCCGCCAGAGGACCCAACUCUUUUGUUUAGUGAUGUCUGAGUACUAUAUAAUAGUUAAAACUUUCAACAACGGAUCUCUUGGUUCUGGCAUCGAUGAAGAACGCAGCGAAAUGCGAUAAGUAAUGUGAAUUGCAGAAUUCAGUGAAUCAUCGAAUCUUUGAACGCACAUUGCGCCCCUUGGUAUUCCGAGGGGCAUGCCUGUUCGAGCGUCAUUUGACCACUCAAGCCUAGCUUGGUAUUGGGGUUCGCGGUCCCGCGGCCCCUAAAAUCAGUGGCGGUGCCGUCUGGCUUCAAGCGUAGUAAUUUUCUCGCUACGGAGUCCGGGCGGUUACUUGCCAGAAUCCCCAUUUUUACAAGGUUGACCUCGGAUCAGGUAGGGAUACCCGCUGAACUUAAGCAUAUCAAUAAGCGGAGGA
rnacentral:rRNA from 2 species